UUAGACGAAAUCUCAGCCCACCUGGUGUUAAUUGGUUACCAGAGCCCAUAGAUAUCUACGUUAAUGCCACCACCUACUUGAGAUAUGAGUUCUAAGGUCUCGGUAUAGUUAAAACAGCUGCCCAACCCUUUAAACGGAAACGCAUUAGUGCUUCACGGCUGAAAUAGUCAGGAUAGGAAUAUAGUUUAAAAGAGGUUAAUAGAUCAAGCGUUUCAAAAUUCUCUGCUUAUAUGGUGCUUCAUGUUCUUGAAUGGAGACCACGCAGCGGACAACGUGGAACGCCCCAUGGCUAGGUGGUGCGAUGACCUCCGAACGGCCGGCCAGAAGUGGAUGAGGAGAGCCGAAGACCGGGCUCAGUGGUGUGUGUUGGGAGUGGCCUAUGUCCAGCAGUGGACGACUGUGGGCUGAUGAUGAUGAUAGCGAUGAUGGUGCUGCCUAUAUGACCGAUUUUGACCCAUUAUAAAUUGCUUCGAAGCAGUUACUAUAUAAUUAUAAUUUGCGUAAUUACUGAUGUAUGACCUCUUGUGAGUCCGCACGGACGCAGAAAUAGGCAGGGUGGUGGUAUCUAUCUACCCGACCGUUUCGGCUUGAAGGGCGGGGUAGCCGUUGUAAUCAUACUGAGACCUAAGAACUCAUAUCUCAAUGUGAGUGGCAGCAUUUACCAUCAUUCCGAUAGAGGCACCCGUCACGUGCGGACGUGCUCAUCGACCACUCGAUCGCCCGGUCUUUGUUCGCCCGGCUUUUGUUAGCCCGGCCAUUGUUCGCGCGGCCUGUGUUCGUGGUACAUCUGCCGACUAAGUGCUCUUCCUGGAAGUUUUUAUUUGUUUUGUUUCCUUUUGUUGUUUCUGUGUUCGUGGUACAUCUGCCGACAAACUGUUUUCCUGGAAGUGUUUAAUUGUUCUGUUUCUUUUUGUUAUUUCCGUUUUGUUGUGUUUUUUCUUUGUCCUGUAGUAAUCGUGCCGCAUCGCCACCUGUGUUUAAUAGAACCGCUCAGGUCCGAGUAGUUGGGGCCUCGCCGCAAGGCGAGUGUUUUCAAGACCUGGGGCCGCCCCACCUGGGCACUCAGCGAUCAUGGACGCUGUAUUCGCGGAAUUCCUCCGACUUCGCCACCCACAGCUCGCCUCAGAUUUUCUGGCCUUCAAGGCCGAUCACACCGCGAGCCCUCUCGUGGACUCCGCCGAGCUCGCUGCUCCUGCGUCGCCUGUACCUGCGUGCAAAGCUUCUGCAUCGAGCACCGCAGCCUCCGUCGUGCCUGCCGUUCCCACGUCGCCUAUACUGGCGAGUAAAACUGCUGCGUCGUCUGCCGUGGCCACCGUUCCAGCAGCGCGAUCAUCCGCAGGCUCCGUCGUGCCCUCCAAAACACCUGCUCGUAGGUCACCUGCGCCCGCCUCCUCGUCCUCCGACUCUGACUCGGAGAUGGAGGUCGACCUCGCUCCCGCCUCAUCGACGGAUGGAUUCACCCUGGUACAAAAGGGUAAGAAGCGUGCCGCGGAGUCUCGAGCUCCCGCGGCCGCUAAAAUUAGUAAAGCCGCGAACGCGUCGCGCCCCCGCCCUCAGACUCCCGUUGCGCCUCCAGCCCGUGCCACUCCGUCGCCGCGUCCGGUGGCACAAAAUAAAACCCAGACCCCUCCCCCGGUUAUCCUUCAAGAGAAGGCAGCUUGGGAUCGAGUUUCUCUGGCCCUUAAGGCCAAAAAUAUCAACUUCACGAAUGCCCGUAACCUCGCGAACGGCAUUCAAAUUAAGGUUCGAACACCCGACGACCAUAGGGCCCUCUCUUCUUACCUCCGUAAGGAACGUAUAAGUUUCCACACGUAUACGCUCCAGGAGGAGCGCGAACUCCGUGCCGUCAUACGUGGCAUCCCUAAAGAGUUGGAUGCCGAGCUAGUCAAGGCCGACCUUCUCGAACAAGGCCUACCGGUUAACUCCGUACACCGCAUGCACACAGGUCGCGGAAGGGAGCCAUAUAACAUGGUUCUCGUCGCCCUCCAGCCUACCCCCGAGGGUAAGCAAAUAUUCAACAUCCGAACGGUCUGUAGCCUUUCCGGAAUCGCCGUCGAAACCCCACACAAGAAAGGCACACCUAGCCAGUGCCAUAACUGCCAAUUAUACGGGCAUUCUUCCCGUAACUGUCACGCGCGCCCCCGAUGCGUCAAGUGUUUAGGAGAUCACGCCACGGCCCUCUGCACUCGCGAUCAAAAAACCGCGACGGAACCGCCUAGCUGCGUCCUGUGUCGUACACAGGGUCACCCCGCAAAUUACCGCGGAUGCCCCCGAGCCCCGAAAAUAAAUCGCCGCGUCGCCCGCCAAAACCGCCUCCGAGCUUCCGGCCCAGACAUCAAAGCCUCGGCACCCUCUGUGUCGCAGGCUAAGCCAGCGUUCGUUCCGGCGCCGGUACCCAGUGUCUCGGCUUGGGCGAAACCGCUGCCGUACAUGAACACGGUUACAACUCCCUCCUCCGCGAUUCGUCCCGCCCCCGCAACUCGUCCCUCUCCCGCGGCUUGCCCUCCGACCGCGUCCGACAAUCUCGCUUUAGCGAUCGACUUCUUUCAGUCGAUCAACUUUGAGCGCGUUAACGCUUUGGGCGACGCCAUUCGCACUGCCUCCACUGCACAACACUUUAUCGCCGUUGUGCAAGAAUACGCCGACGUAUACGCGUCAUUAAAUACGUACGUCCUCCCCUCACUCCGCCGGUAAUCAAUGGCGUAUAUAAGUAGAAUAAAGCCCCUAUCCGUAACGAUAGGAUUUUUUAACGCUUACGGUCUCGCAAAUCAACGUGAUCAGGUUUCUGACUUUUUGCGUGACCAUCAAAUUGAUAUCUUUUUAGUGCAGGAAACCCUACUUAAGCCCGCGCGCCGUGACCCUAAAAUCGCGAACUAUAACAUGGUCAGGAACGACAGGCUCUCUGCUCGUGGUGGUGGUACCGUCAUUUACUAUAGAAGAGCCCUGCAUUGCGUCCCGCUCGAUUCUCCCGCGCUCGCUAAUAUCGAAGCAUCAGUGUGCCGAAUCUCACUGACGGGACACGCGCCGAUCGUUAUCGCGUCCGUUUAUCUUCCACCGGAUAAGAUCGUUCUAAGCAGUGAUAUCGAGGCGCUGCUCGGCAUGGGAAGCUCUGUCAUUCUGGCGGGCGACCUAAAUUGUAAACACAUCAGGUGGAACUCACACACCACAACCCCGAAUGGCAGGCGGCUUGACGCGUUAGUCGAUGAUCUCGCCUUCGAUAUCGUCGUUCCGCUAACACCGACUCACUACCCGCUAAAUAUCGCGCAUCGCCCGGCUAUACUCGACAUAGCGUUAUUAAAAAACGUAACUCUGAGCUUACACUCGAUCGAAGUAGUUUCAGAGUUAGAUUCAGGCCACCGUCCCGUCGUUAUGAAGCUCGGUCGCGCUCCCGACUCUGUUCCCGUCACGAGGACUGUGGUGGAUUGGCACACGCUGGGCAUCAGCCUGGCUGAAUCUGAUCUACCAUCGCUCCCGUUUAACCCGGACUCUACCCCGUCUCCUCAGGAUACCGCUGAAGCCAUAGACAUCUUAACGUCACACAUCACCUCGACAUUAGAUAGGUCAUCGAAGCAAGUUGUAGCGGAGGACUUCCUUCACCGCUUCAAAUUGCCCGACGAUAUUAGGGAACUCCUUAGAGCUAAGAACGCCUCGAUCCGCGCCUACGAUAGGUAUCCUACCGUGGAUAAUCGUAUUCGAAUGCGUGCCCUACAACGCGACGUAAAGUCUCGCAUCGCCGAAGUCCGAGAUGCCAGAUGGUCUGAUUUCUUAGAAAGACUCGCGCCCUCCCAAAGGUCUUACUACCGCUUAGCUCGUACUCUCAAAUCGGAUACGGUAGUAACUAUGCCCCCCCUCGUAGGCCCCUCAGGCCGACUCGCGGCGUUUGAUGAUGACGAAAAAGCAGAGUUGCUGGCCGAUACAUUGCAAACCCCAGCGGCGUGCACUGGGUUUGAGUGCUGACUCAAUCCGUGGACCCUGUUCAUGUAGAAUUAGUAGACAGUGAGGUAGAACGCAGAGUCACCCCGAUGGAAGUUAAAGACUUGAUCAAAGACCUACGUCCUCGCAAGGCUCCCGGUUCCGACGGUAUAUCCAACCGCGUUAUUAAACUUCUACCCGUCCAACUCAUCGUGCUGUUGGCAUCUAUUUUCAAUGCCGCUAUGGCGAACUGUAUCUUUCCCGCGGUGUGGAAAGAAGCGGACGUUAUCGGCAUACAUAAACCCGGUAAACCAAAAAAUCAUCCGACGAGCUACCGCCCGAUUAGCCUCCUCAUGUCUCUAGGCAAACUGUGUGAGCGUCUGCUCUACAAACGCCUCAGAGACUUCGUCUCAUCCAAGGGCAUUCUCAUCGAUGAACAAUUCGGAUUCCGUACAAAUCACUUAUGCGUUCAACAGGUGCACCGCCUCACGGAGCACAUUCUUGUGGGGCUUAAUCGACGAAAACCGUUAUACACGGGAGCUCUCUUCUUCGACGUCGCAAAAGCGUUCGACAAAGUCUGGCACAACGGUUUGAUUUUCAAACUAUUCAACAUGGGUGUGCCGGAUAGUCUCGUGCUCAUCAUACGGGACUUCUUGUCGAACCGCUCUUUUCGAUAUCGAGUCGAGGGAACCCGCUCCUCCCCACGACCUCUCACAGCUGGAGUCCCGCAAGGCUCUGUUCUUUCACCCCUCCUAUUUAGCUUAUUCGUUAACGAUAUUCCCCGGUCGCCGCCGACCCAUUUAGCUUUAUUCGCCGACGACACGACUGUUCACUAUUCCAGUAGAAACAAGUCCCUAAUCGCGAAGAAGCUUCAGAGCGCAGCCCUAGCCCUAGGACAGUGGUUCCGAAAAUGGCGCAUAGACAUCAACCCAGCGAAAAGUACUGCGGUGCUAUUUCCCGUAUUAGGAGGAGGAAUCUCACACCCCCGAUUACUCUCUUUAGUCAAUCCAUACCCUGGGCAAGGAAGGUCAAGUACCUGGGCGUUACCCUGGAUGCAUCGAUGACAUUCCGCCCGCAUAUAAAAUCAGUCCGUGACCGUGCCGCGUUUAUUCUCGGUAGACUCUACCCCAUGAUCUGUAAGCGGAGUAAAAUGUCCCUUCGGAACAAGGUGACACUUUACAAAACUUGCAUAAGGCCCGUCAUGACUUACGCGAGUGUGGUGUUCGCUCACGCGGCCCGCACACACAUAGACACCCUUCAAUCUCUACAAUCCCGCUUUUGCAGGUUAGCCGUCGGAGCUCCGUGGUUCGUGAGGAACGUUGACCUACAUGACGACCUGGGCCUCGAAUCUAUACAGAAAUACAUGAAGUCAGCGUCGGAACGGUACUUCGAUAAGGCUAUGCGUCAUGAUAAUCUCCUUAUCGUAGCCGCCGCUGACUACUCCCCGAAUCCUGAUCAUGCAGGAGCCAGUCACCGUCGACGCCCUAGACACGUCCUUACGGAUCCAUCAGAUCCAAUAACCUUUACACUAGACGCCUUCAGCUCUAGGAGCAGGCUUAGGGACCUCGGUAACCGUACUCGUCGAACUCGACAAAGAGUUCGCCGUGCAACCUAACCCAUGAAUCAGCUCGCUGAGUUUCUCGCCGGAUCUUCUCAGCGGGUCGCGAUUCCGAUCCGGUAGUAGAUUCAUUCGCGAAGCAGCUACUCUUGAGUUGUUAGGUCUCCUUCGGAGGCGCUCGGGCAGCUGUUAGCAAAUCCCACCCCUCCUGGCUGAGCCUUUGCUCGCCCACCUGUCCUGGUGAAACUGGAAAGGCCUCCGGGCCACCAGUAAUCCUUCAAUAAUAAAUUUAAAAAAAAGCAUUUACCAUAAUAAAAAAAAUGGUUCGUGAAUCCGAUAGACGAAAUACGGAGACUUGUAUUGCAGCGCAAUAUAACGAAAUGAUAAUUUAUACUUAAUUAUUAUUGUGUCAAAAAUGAUCGUCAAUAUAGAGCUAUAUUCCAAAUUAGGAUUCUUUAAUAAAUAAAAAUUCUAGAUUUUUAUUUUUAAUAAUAAAAUAUAACCUUUAGUAUUCACAGGAAUAAACCCUUAGUAAGUUAAACAUUUUACGAUAUUACUUCUAGUAAAGCCUAUAUCUUCGGUAUAACUACUUAUAUUAAUCUAUAACUUUCUUGGCAUUGUUUUUCUUUAAUAACAAUCACGCUUGCAGAUAUUUUUUUUAUAUGGAUCUGAGACUUUAGUCAUUUAUGUCAGUAUCAUUAAAAUAGUAUACAACAGUAAUUUAAUAGUAACAGUAUUAAAAACAUUCAUUUAAUUUUAUUAAACCAUUUCCUUCAGUUAUCAUUCGUUUAAAAAUUCAACUAAAUUAGCUUAAAUAAAGUUAAAUAUUAUAAAAAAAUGGACACUCACUAAUUUGAUUUUUAAGAAGCCAUGGUUUCGUAAAAAACCUUUUACCUUGUAUGGUAAAAGCGAUAUGUUAUUAUUCUAUCUCAUAUCAGUUGUUUAUAUUCUUAAGCUUUAAGUCAAAAUUUUGUUACAAGCUUAGAGAAUUCUAAUGUCAUUUAAUUACUACUCGUAGGUCCAUAGAACGCCUCGUUGUACAGGGAAGGGUUGAUGGUGGGAGGUCACCAAUGCGGUGGACCGACCAAAUUAAAACUUUUUUUAUUCCUUAAUUGAGUGGACGAGCUCACAGCCCACCUGGUGUUAAGUGGUUACUGGAGCCCAUAGACAUCUACAAUAUCAAUGAUGCCACCCACAUUGAGAUAUGAAUUCAAGGUCUCAGUAUAGUUACUACGGCUGCCCAACCCUUCAAACCGAAAUGCAUUACUGCUUCACGGCAGAAAUAGGCGGGGUGGUGGUACCUACCCGUGCGGACUCACAAAAGGUCCUACCACCAGUAACUGCAGUGGUAGGUCGCCUAAAUGAGUGCAGUAGAAUGGCCUUGAGCAGGGCGAGAUGGUGGGACAUCAUCAUGUCUGCCCCUUCCAACACUACAUGACGAUCACGACCACUCUGUCAAGAGUGACACGAUUGAGAAGAAGAAGAAGAAGGUUAAAAUAAUUAUAUAUUCAAAAGUUUUAUUUCGCAGAUAAUAAUGGACCUUCGAAAUUCAAAUACAAAGUAGGUACUUUGAUAACUUAAAAACUUUUUAGGAAUGUUUUUUUUAAAGUUGAAAUGGAAAGGGAUAAUUAAGCUAAUAUAAUUUAACUAAUCGAACAGAUUUGGACCACCGAAAGAAGAUUACAUACAGGACAGAUUUCGAGAUAAAUGACGAGAAAGUACAAAGAAGAUCGCGUAAACACCACAAA